rnacentral:rRNA from 1 species
UGGCACCUCGAUGUCGGCUCAUCUCAUCCUGGGGCUGAAGCAGGUCCCAAGGGUAUGGCUGUUCGCCAUUUAAAGAGGUACGCGAGCUGGGUUUAGAACGUCGUGAGACAGUUCGGUCCCUAUCUACCGUGGGCGCUGGAAAUUUGAGAGGAUCUGCUCCUAGUACGAGAGGACCAGAGUGGACGAACCUCUGGUGUACCGGUUGUGACGCCAGUCGCAUCGCCGGGUAGCUAUGUUCGGAAGGGAUAACCGCUGAAAGCAUCUAAGCGGGAAGCCUACCUCAAGAUAAGAUUUCCCUAGGACUUUAUGUCCUCUAAAGAGCCGUUCGAGACUAGGACGUUGAUAGGUUGGAUGUGGAAGCAUAGUGAUAUGUGAAGCUGACCAAUACUAAUUGCUCGUGAGGCUUGACUAU